GUUGUAAAGCAUGCUGGACGUAUCAGAAGUGCGAAUGCUGACAUGAGUAACGAUAAUGGGAGUGAAAAACUCCCACGCCGGAAGACCAAGGUUUCCUGUCCCAUGCUAAUCAGGGCAGGGUAAGUCGGCCCCUAAGGCGAGGCAGAAAUGCGUAGUCGAUGGGAAGCAGGUUAAUAUUCCUGCACCAGUGGGUAGUGACGGAUCUCGUGUGUCGUCAGUCCUUAUCGGAUUGAACUGGCGGCGAAGAGGUCCCUGGAAAUAGCUCCCACAUGAGACCGUACCCCAAACCGACACAGGUGGUCAGGUAGAGAAUACUAAGGCGCUUGAGAGAACUCGGGUGAAGGAACUCGGCAAAAUUGUACCGUAACUUCGGGAGAAGGUACGCCUCUGUUUGUGAACACUUCGCGUGGUAAGCAAAUGGAGGCCGCAGUGACCAGGUGGCUGGGACUGUUUAUUAAAAACACAGCACUCUGCAAACUCGUAAGAGGACGUAUAGGGUGUGACACCUGCCCGGUGCCGGAAGGUUAAUUGAUGGGGUUAGUUUUCGGACGAAGCUCUUGAUCGAAGCCCCGGUAAACGGCGGCCGUAACAAUAACGGUCCUAAGGUAGCGAAAUUCCUUGUCGGGUAAGUUCCGACCUGCACGAAUGGUGUAACCAUGGCCACGCUGUCUCCACCCGAGACUCAGUGAAAUUGAAAUCGCCGUGAAGAUGCGGUGUAUCCGCGGCUAGACGGAAAGACCCCGUGAACCUUUACUAUAGCUUCACAGUGAACUUUGAGCAUGUUUGUGUAGGAUAGCUGGGAGGCUUUGAAGUGGGAACGCCAGUUCUCAUGGAGCCAACCUUGAAAUACCAGCCUGACAUGUUUGAGGUUCUAACUUGGUCCCCUUAUCGGGGAUGAGGACACUGUGUGGUGGGUAGUUUGACUGGGGCGGUCUCCUCCCAAAGAGUAACGGAGGAGUGCGAAGGUAACCUCAGCGCGGUCGGAAAUCGCGCAGUGAGUGCAUAGGCAUAAGGUUGCUUGACUGCAAGACAAACAAGUCGAGCAGGUACGAAAGUAGGUCAUAGUGAUCCGGUGGUUCUGUAUGG
rnacentral:rRNA from 11 species